GAUGAACGCUGGCGGCGUGCCUAACACAUGCAAGUCGAGCGGCAGCGAGGGGUGCUUGCACCCUGUCGGCGAGCGGCGGACGGCUGAGUAACGCGUGGGAACGUGCCCCAAAGUGAGGAAUAACUGCCCGAAAGGGUAGCUAAUACCGCAUAUUAUCUUCGGAUCAAAGGAUUUAUCCGCUUUGGGAGCGGCUCGCGUCGGAUUAGGUAGUUGGUGAGGUAAUGGCUCACCAAGCCGACGAUCCGUAGCUGGUCUGAGAGGAUGACCAGCCAGACUGGAACUGAGACACGGUCCAGACUCCUACGGGAGGCAGCAGUGAGGAAUCUUCCACAAUGGGCGAAAGCCUGAUGGAGCAACGCCGCGUGCAGGACGAAGGCCUUCGGGUUGUAAAAUGCUUUUAUAAGUGAGGAAUAUGACGGUAACUUAUGAAUAAGGAUCGGCUAACUACGUG
rnacentral:rRNA from 1 species